GCCAGACUCCUACGGGAGGCAGCAGUGGGGAAUAUUGCACAAUGGGGGAAACCCUGAUGCAGCAACGCCGCGUGAGUGAAGAAGUAUUUCGGUAUGUAAAGCUCUCUCAGCAGGGAAGAAGAAAGACGGUACCUGACUAAGAAGCCCCGGCUAACUACGUGCCAGCAGCCGCGGUAAUACGUAGGGGGCAAGCGUUAUCCGGAUUUACUGGGUGUAAAGGGAGCGUAGACGGCUGUGCAAGUCUGAAGUGAAAGGCGGGGGCCCAACCCCUGGACUGCUUUGGGAACUGUACGGCUGGAGUGCAGGAGAGGUAAGUGGAAUUCCUAGUGUAGCGGUGAAAUGCGUAGAUAUUAGGAGGAACACCAGUGGCGAAGGCGGCUUACUGGACUGUAACUGACGUUGAGGCUCGAAAGCGUGGGGAGCAAACGGGAUUAGAUACCCCAGUAGA
rnacentral:rRNA from 1 species